ensembl:misc_RNA Metazoa_SRP Metazoan signal recognition particle RNA
GCCAGGUGUGGUGGCUCAUACCUGUAAUCCCAGCACUUUGGGAGGCCGAGGUGGGUGGAUCACCUGAGGUCAGGAGUUUGAGACCAGCCUGACCAACAUGGUGAAACCCCAUCUCUA